CCUACGGGGGGCAGCAGUGGGGAAUAUUGCACAAUGGGCGCAAGCCUGAUGCAGCGACGCCGCGUGAGGGAUGACGGCCUUCGGGUUGUAAACCUCUUUCAGUAGGGAAGAAGCGAAAGUGACGGUACCUGCAGAAGAAGCACCGGCUAACUACGUGCCAGCAGCCGCGGUAAUACGUAGGGUGCGAGCGUUAUCCGGAAUUAUUGGGCGUAAAGAGCUCGUAGGCGGUUUGUCGCGUCUGUCGUGAAAGUCCGGGGCUUAACCCCGGAUCUGCGGUGGGUACGGGCAGACUAGAGUGCAGUAGGGGAGACUGGAAUUCCUGGUGUAGCGGUGGAAUGCGCAGAUAUCAGGAGGAACACCGAUGGCGAAGGCAGGUCUCUGGGCUGUAACUGACGCUGAGGAGCGAAAGCAUGGGGAGCGAACAGGAUUAGAUACCCUGGUAGUC
rnacentral:rRNA from 1 species